CGUUUUUGAACCGUUAGACGACGGUUAGGUCCGUGAAGUGGUUAGCGAAAAGGAGGCAUUUUCAAAAUAAACAACUCGCGCGGUUUCUAUAAAGAAGAGAAGUUUACUUACAAGCUGAUCACCGUACAAACUAGCGUAAACUAACGGUUCGGGCAGUAUAAUGCUACUGGGAAGUGUUCUGCAAAUCUUCGGAAUUUCUACGUUUCUCAACGAUUUCUCCGGCUAUCUCUCCUUAAAACACUGGUUUUAGCAAGAAUUUAUAAUAAGCUAUUUACACUGCAUUCAUUCAAUUCAACUUUCUGGUUUGUUUUUGUUUGUUCCUUUCCCAUAUUCGCCUAUCGCGCGAAGCGCUGUUUGCGUAUCGCGCAAAUUAUAUUGGCAGAGGGUUCGGCUAUUUUACCGACUGCGGACCUAGCACUGUUCAGCGGUGUGAACAUUCCCCAGCCCGUAACAUCCGGUAGCUUCACCUGAGAUUCCGGAUUUACCGUCUAGAACCUCUAACACCGCUAAAUUCGCCACUGCUCGCCUAUGCACC